rnacentral:rRNA from 1 species
UAACCUGCCUUAUAGUGGGGGAUAGCCUUUCGAAAGGAAGAUUAAUACCGCAUAAGAUUGUAGUAUCGCAUGAUAUAGCAAUUAAAGGAGCAAUCCGCUAUAAGAUGGACCCGCGUCGCAUUAGCUAGUUGGUGAGGUGAUGGCUCACCAAGGCGACGAUGCGUAGCCGACCUGAGAGGGUGAUCGGCCACAUUGGGACUGAGACACGGCCCAGACUCCUACGGGAGGCAGCAUG